UUCCUUCAUCCAUCCCAUUGGUAGGGAUCUUUUCAGUGUUUUCUAGCAAGAAAAAAAUGAAUAAUUCAAACCACCAUACAUGUUACUCAUGACUGUCAUCUAGUCCUAAAUCUCUUCCAUUGUUGAAUGAUCCUAGAAAAACAGCUGAAUAAAUCUGGAGAAAACACAGCACACCAAAGAAGCAGAAUACUGCAAACCAAAGACAUUUCUUACUUGCCAUUUUCUAGCCUAAAAAUACUGUGAUUACUUUUAGAAAUCAGAAAACCUCUGCAACUCCAAAUGGCAUUCAGCUCUUGCAUUCGGCUCGCCAUCAGGCAGAGCAGACUGGCUACACCAAGGACGUUAGCCAAGCCACCCAGGGAGUGGCUUUGCCACGUCAGCUCUGGUUCCUGGCUGUCACCUUCCCACAGCAAGCGGAAGAGUGCCCACGGGACUCUGGGAGAUUGCAAAGGUCACGAUGUGCAUAUUUACCAGUGAAUGGCCCCAGGAGGGCACCAUGGGGAUGUUCAAAGCAAGCCAAACACUGCAAUGAUUCUUUACGGACACUUGAGACUGACUUUUUUAUGAAUUACUUAAUCGAAACCAAAGAAACUUUUUCUGCACCUACUUCUGCAACAAACAAAACCGUCCCAUUAAAAUGAAUAAAUAACGAAAUACGUAAGUCAAUGAAAAUCACCAUCAACAAGAAGGAAGCACGCCAGAAAAAAAAAAAAAACAAACAGCGAGACACACUGUGUUCAAACAGACCUCUUGGGACAUUUUUUGGAAGCAGAUUCUAAAGAAAGGGUUGAGACAAGAAUAGAAAUAAGGAAAAGCCUCAGUGGCGGCUGCUUCAUUUGACAACUCACGCGGUAAUCUUAAAGUUGAAGAUUGUCUUUAAUUUGUGCCUAUGCAGUUUUCAAAAGAACACGGAACAGAGCAACAGAAACCUCAACAGCUACAAUACCAAAGAUGAGGAUUUCUCACACCUCUUGUUUCAGUUCGUUAUAUCCUCUUGCCUGGCUAAAAUACUAAUAGCGCCAUUGAUCUGUGUAAAGAGUUCAUUUGCCGCCGUGGAUGAUUUGGAGUAUUCAGAUUUCUGUGAAAACUCCUGGGAAAGGUUGAAAGUCGAGUUCAAGCAUUUCAGCAUUUAACCUGUUGAUAAAUGGAUCUGUGGUGCAAAUGAGUUU
rnacentral:lncRNA from 1 species